GACGAACGCUGGCGGCGUGCUUAACACAUGCAAGUCGAGCGGUAAGGCCCUUUCGGGGUACGACGAGCGGCGAACGGGUGAGUAACACGUGGGUGACCUGCCCUCAGCUCUGGGAGUAAGCCUGGGAAACCGGGGUACGUAAUACCGGAUAUGACUCCAUGACGCAUGUUGUGGGGUGGAAAGCCUUGUGCGGCUGAGGAUGGGCCCGCGGCCUAUCAGCUUGUUGGUGGGGUGAUGGCCUACCAAGGCGACGACGGGUAGCCGGCCUGAGAGGGCGACCGGCCACACUGGGACUGAGACACGGCCCAGACUCCUACGGGAGGCAGCAGUGGGGAAUCUUGCGCAAUGGGCGCAAGCCUGACGACGCAACGCCGCGUGGAGGAUGAAGAUCUUCGGGUCGUAAACUCUUCGAUCGAGACGAAUGACUUCCGGGUGAAUAAUCCGGAAGUGUGACGGUACCGAGAGAAGAAGCCCCGGCUAACUCCGUGCCAG
rnacentral:rRNA from 1 species